rnacentral:tRNA from 1 species
GGGCGAUUAGCUCAGUUGGUUAGAGCGCCUGCCUUACAAGCAGGAUGUCGGCGGUUCGAGUCCGUCAUCGCCCACCA